rnacentral:lncRNA from 1 species
AAAGGGACAGCAGAGAAAUGGAAUUACUUGGCUGAGGGCACCCAGGAUUUACUGUGGUCUGGAGAAGAGGGAAAUAUGUGCCUCUGCCUGAGCCAGGACCAUUCUACACAGGAGAGCAGUUACUUAAGUGACACUUGUGAAACAUCUGAAUGCUCUAUCAGCUCGUGAGUAAAUGUCAUUAAGUUAAUGUAGUUGCAGUUUCCUUUUGUAUUCCCAAAGGUUUCAUGAAAAUAAUAGUUUUGUAAUAUGCAAGCAUGAGGUAAAAUAAUU